rnacentral:rRNA from 1 species
ACGUACACUCCUACGGGAGGCAGCAGUGGGGAAUAUUGCACAAUGGGCGCAAGCCUGAUGCAGCCAUGCCGCGUGUAUGAAGAAGGCCUUCGGGUUGUAAAGUACUUUCAGCGGGGAGGAAGGCAAUACGGUUAAUAACCGUGUUGAUUGACGUUACCCGCAGAAGAAGCACCGGCUAACUCCGUGCCAGCAGCCGCGGUAAUACGGAGGGUGCAAGCGUUAAUCGGAAUUACUGGGCGUAAAGCGCACGCAGGCGGUCUGUCAAGUCGGAUGUGAAAUCCCCGGGCUCAACCUGGGAACUGCAUUCGAAACUGGCAGGCUUGAGUCUUGUAGAGGGGGGUAGAAUUCCAGGUGUAGCGGUGAAAUGCGUAGAGAUCUGGAGGAAUACCGGUGGCGAAGGCGGCCCCCUGGACAAAGACUGACGCUCAGGUGCGAAAGCGUGGGGAGCAAACAGGAUUAGAUACCCCUGUAGUCCCAUGA